rnacentral:rRNA from 1 species
UACUCCUACGGGAGGCAGCAGUAGGGAAUCUUCGGCAAUGGACGGAAGUCUGACCGAGCAACGCCGCGUGAGUGAAGAAGGUUUUCGGAUCGUAAAGCUCUGUUGUAAGAGAAGAACGAGUGUGAGAGUGGAAAGUUCACACUGUGACGGUAUCUUACCAGAAAGGGACGGCUAACUACGUGCCAGCAGCCGCGGUAAUACGUAGGUCCCGAGCGUUGUCCGGAUUUAUUGGGCGUAAAGCGAGCGCAGGCGGUUAGAUAAGUCUGAAGUUAAAGGCUGUGGCUUAACCAUAGUACGCUUUGGAAACUGUUUAACUUGAGUGCAAGAGGGGAGAGUGGAAUUCCAUGUGUAGCGGUGAAAUGCGUAGAUAUAUGGAGGAACACCGGUGGCGAAAGCGGCUCUCUGGCUUGUAACUGACGCUGAGGCUCGAAAGCGUGGGGAGCAAACAGGAUUAGAUACCCUGGUAGUCCACGCCGUAAACGAUGAGUGCUAGGUGUUAGACCCUUUCCGGGGUUUAGUGCCGUAGCUAACGCAUUAAGCGCUCCGCCUGGGGAGUACGACCGCAAGGUUGAAACUCAAAGGAAUUGACGGA